CUAACCUCACAAUUGAAUUGAACUGCAGUCUCAAAUAAUGUACAAUCCAAUUCAUGAACCCAACAUUCAGUAGGCAUUUGCCAUUGUAUAUAACUAUAUAUUCCAUCUUCAUAUGAUAUAUGUCUUCUUUUUUUUUUUUUUUUUCGGGGUGGAGGAGCUUCACUCUGUCUAUGUGCUCAACUCAUAUAUGUCCUGAAAAACCUCAAUUUCUGUCUCUUAUUUAUUAUUAUCUUAAUUUCUAUUGGCUAUGGUUUCUAUGAGCAACAAAGUAACGAUGCCUAGGGCUUCCACGUUCACAGCAAGUGUAGUAAAACUUCCCGCCGUCUUUCCUUCCGCCGACUGGAUAUCCCAAAGCUGGAGAGUAAUACCUAGCUGCUGCUGCUGCCGCCGCAUACGACGGAGGCGAAUAGAAGCGGCUGACCUUUUCCUGUUUCAAUUUCGAUGCUGGAAAGUCAAAGCACGACAUAGGCGAUGAAGGAGGAGAGACUUUUUUCGCCGAGUUGAGUGGAAAUAGAACAGCUCUAAUCUUCAUCUCCUGAUUCGUCAACGCCGAAACUCGCUCGUACUCUUGAAUCACAUUCAUCAGGUCCUCAUCACAUGUAAUGCUUACCAAAACAUCCAAAUCCUCGCUCGGCAACUUACACUUCAAAUUCAUUGACGAUCCACACAGUUCUCCAAACUUUACCAUCAACUCUGCACAAAUUAAUUUUCAUCAGCUCCUACUUUUCCGCAAAAAGCACAGCAAUAACUCUAAUUUUUAAAAAAAAAAGACAAAAAAAAAAUGUACUAACGGACCUGCAAAGGAAAUAGAGCGAUCGACGGAGAGAACUCUGGUAAAACCACCGACGUAACGGAGCUUGCCGUCGGAGGGACGGGGGAGGAUUCUUCCGCCGUAACUAUACAGAAAUUUGAUUGCGUGCGUCGACUUCAUAGAGUUCAUGCUUUGGAUUCAGUUAUACGAGGUAAGGAAUUGAAAAGUAUUUUUUGAACUGAAAAGGAGAGAGAAAAAAGCGGAGGAGCUUCUAGAGAAAGAGAAGAUGCUUUGAGAUUGCGGGCACCUUCAAGAACCAUAAGGCUAAGGAAUGAGCUGUAUAUAUAGGGUGUGAGGACUUGAAAAUUUUGUUACUCCAAAUUCAAAGCGGAGAAGUAAAGCAAAGGUGUGGGGUAAGGAGGUUAUUCGGAUAUUCGUUAAUUUUCUUGGGAUCCAAAAGACGGAUGGUCCACUAAAGAUGGGAUGAGUGGCUCAACUGAUGAGCUGUUGGGCUUACGGGUAUGAUUCGUGUAGCUACAAGAAAGGGCUGGGUGGAAUGAAAUUUUGGAUUUCGGCUGGUGCCGUGUUUUCAGGCUUUGGCCCGACCCAUUUUUUUGGUCUCUUGCUCUGCCCAUCCACGAGACCUCAACGAACCCAAACCUGCCAUUUUUGUCAUCUUCUCCCUUCUUAACUCCGGCCCCACUCAAAUUUAGCUUUGGGUUUGUUAAUUUUUUUAUCUUCUCGUUGCUAUUUCUUCACUUUUUUUGUUGAUUUAUAUUGGGUUCGGUUGAUUUGACGAGCGCAAAACCGAUAUAUAAAACUUAGACUCGCUAUUCAAAAAUAGUAUAGUAUUAAAUCGUUUCUGUCACACCCCUUUUUUACUAACUUCACUAAAUCCUCUUUAAAUAAUAAAAAAGAUUUGUAAAGCUCAAAAGGGUUUUCAAUUUGAAAAGUGACAAAAUGAUUGUGUUAAAAAGGAUUUUUCUAGAAUCACCACCUAACAUUUGAUUUCGGUGUGUCAAGUCACCGUUUUUCUAAAAAUUAAUUUUUUCCUUUUAAAACACUUGGGACUCCAAAACUAAGUCUGCACCAGAUAUUCGGGUAAGGGGGUUCAUUUGACUCGGGGAGAAGGUGUUAGGCACUCCCCAAGUCCUGUAACUAGUACGGUUGCAUACUUGAUCUAGUCGGCUUUUAAAAUAUUCAAUUGAGGAAGAAACCACAGAAAAAGGAAAAUACAUACACAAGAGGCUCGAGGUCGUCCCCACCUAAAUAAAAAAGAAAAAUAAAAAUAAAAUAAAAAUAUUACAAGUUUCUACUUUUGGCCUCCAUUUACAUGUACGACGGGGCAUUCCUCGGAAUAAUAUAUAUACAAAUCCUUCGGGGCAUUCCCCGGAUAAAUUUAACUAAGGGAACGACCUCUCGCCUCAAAAUUAAAUAAAACCAAAUCCUAGAAUUUGCCUACCCAAAUGUGAUCGGCCUAAACAUGUUCCUAACGAAAGUAUCGAAUAACAAAAUUAAUUUAAGUUACAACUCAACUUAACAAUUUGGCAUGGUAAAACAGUAAUCCAAAAAAUUUAAACGGCAAACUCGAAUACCAUUAAUUCUAAUCACUAUCGUAGUCUAUUUUAUAAUCUCGAUGAGUUUAAAAUUGUUAACCAAACAGACCAUGUGCAUUCAUUAUUCUAAAGAAAACUAGACAAAUUCACUUCUAUUUCCAAAUAAUGUCUCGCAUGUAGGCUGACCAACUUGAAUAAAUCAAACUAAAAAGAUUCUAAACACACCAUGAGCAAAACAAUUAUUCAACAUUCAUAAUCACCAAAGAUUGGGCACAAGACACACAUAUAAAAAUUCAGAAUCAAAGUAAGAGAUAACCUCAAAAUGAUAGCUUUUCUGAUUACAUUGGCAGUGCCAGAACGUGAAUCGAGACCAGAGCUUGACCGAAAAUCCUCGUCGGCAACCUCGAACUCCGACCAAGCUCGCUGACCGGAACCCUCGAACAAACCACGAAUUAAGAAGCCUCGAAACAGAGGUUCAAAGAGUGAAACCAAAUUAAACUUGCUUACUUUCACUAAAUUUCAGAUCCGUAUGAAUCAUGAUUUUCGAAUCUGACUUUGAAAUUAUUUUUCAGAGGCACAUAAUGCUAUAAUUUUAUAUAUGGAAGAAAAAUGGUAAAACAAGAUGGAGAUUCAUGGCUGCGUUUUUGGAACUCAUUCUUGGGUUUCUCCGUUCCUCUGUCUUCUUUUGUUUGCUGUGUGUUUUUCGCUGGUUCUUUAAAAUCGAGGGAGAUGGGGGUCGUCAGCGUGGAGAGAAGCUGGCGGGCGGCAGUGAGGGCGUUAGAGGCGGCUGUGUGUGUUUUUUUGGGUGUUCGUCCGGUUGGGAGGGUGGUUGUUGUCUUGGUAUCUCUAGGGUUUGUUGUUGUCUAGCUGAAGAAGAAAGGGUUAGGGAAGGGUUAAAGAAGAAGGGGUAAUGGGUUAGGUCUUGUUGGGCUUAAAAAUUUGGUCCUUGACAUUGGACUAAAAACAAA
rnacentral:lncRNA from 1 species